rnacentral:tRNA from 1 species
GCCCGGGUGGCGGAAUUGGUAGACGCGCUGUCUUGAGGGGGCAGUGGCGAUGAGCCGUGCGGGUUCGAAUCCCGCCCCGGGCAC